rnacentral:lncRNA from 1 species
AUCAGUAAUAAAAGCGAUAAAAUUUUCGGUGAACGUAGCAUUACUGAGAAAUUUAUAACGGUAAUUUAACCGUGUUAAUAAAAACCUGAAUCAAAUCAACGGUUGGGCAACGGAUCCAACGGUGGGAACAUCAGAGUACGACCAAUUCGAUUUUGGGUUGGCAGAUUGGGACUACACGUCUUUGGCUCCAUAUGGCUUCACGUGAAGAAUAAUAUGGCUUCAUGAGCAAAUGCCACGUCAUAAGCACCCGAGUUGGUUGCGAGUAGACUCGAGCAGGGCUUUUCGAGUCCAAUUGGUUAUGUAAAUAAACGAGAUCGAGCUUUAUUAUAGCACUUGUUUAAUAAAUAAAAUGAGCUCAAAUAAUCCAUACUCGAGCCUUAUUAGCUCAGCUCGAUUCAUUUUGGAUAAAAUAUACCUAUAUAUAAUCAUGUU